rnacentral:rRNA from 1 species
UAUGAACGCUGGCGGCGUGCCUAAUACAUGCAAGUCGAGCGAACGGACGAGAAGCUUGCUUCUCUGAUGUUAGCGGCGGACGGGUGAGUAACACGUGGAUAACCUACCUAUAAGACUGGGAUAACUUCGGGAAACCGGAGCUAAUACCGGAUAAUAUUUUGAACCGCAUGGUUCAAAAGUGAAAGACGGUCUUGCUGUCACUUAUAGAUGGAUCCGCGCUGCAUUAGCUAGUUGGUAAGGUAACGGCUUACCAAGGCAACGAUGCAUAGCCGACCUGAGAGGGUGAUCGGCCACACUGGAACGGAGACACGGUCCAGACUCCUACGGGAGGCAGCAGUAGGGAAUCUUCCGCAAUGGGCGAAAGCCUGACGGAGCAACGCCGCGUGAGUGAUGAAGGUCUUCGGAUCGUAAAACUCUGUUAUUAGGGAAGAACAUAUGUGUAAGUAACUGUGCACAUCUUGACGGUACCUAAUCAGAAAGCCACGGCUAACUACGUG